rnacentral:rRNA from 1 species
CGGAUUGCAGGCUGCAACCCGCCUGCAUGAAGCCGGAAUCGCUAGUAAUCGCGGAUCAGAAUGCCGCGGUGAAUACGUUCCCGGGUCUUGUACACACCGCCCGUCACACCAUGGGAGCCGGGAAUGCCCGAAGUCAGUGGCCCAACCGAAAGGGGGAGCUGCCGAAGGCAGGCCUGGUGACUGGGGUGAAGUCGUAACAAGGUACC